rnacentral:tRNA from 1 species
GGGCAGUUAGCUCAGCGGUAGAGCACUAGCUCGACACGCUAGGGGUCACAGGUUCAAUCCCUGUACUGCCCACCA